GACGAACGCUGGCGGCGUGCUUAACACAUGCAAGUCGAGCGCCCAGCAAUGGGAGCGGCGGACGGGUGAGUAACGCGUGGGAAUUUUUCCUGGAGUACGGAACAACCGAGGGAAACUUCGGCUAAUACCGUAUGAUGCCGAGAGGCCAAAGAUUUAUCGCUCUGGGGUGAGCCCGCGUCAGAUUAGGUAGUUGGUGGGGUAAAGGCCCACCAAGGCGACGAUCCGUAGCUGGUCUGAGAGGAUGAUCAGCCACACUGGAACUGAGGCACGGUCCAGACUCCUACGGGAGGCAGCAGUGGGGAAUAUUGGACAAUGGGCGCAAGCCUGAUCCAGCCAUGCCGCGUGUGUGAAGAAGG
rnacentral:rRNA from 1 species